UUAACUCAAAUUUGUAUGGAGUUGAAACAUCUUCCCUACGUUUACCGCUAGGGGCGCUGUUCCAACUCGAUACAAAUUUGAGUUA
rfam:Bombyx mori DNA, contig: Bm_scaf51_contig26669, strain: p50T/Dazao, build 2, whole genome shotgun sequence.